UGUGGAAGGUAGAGAAAUUACCCACAAAGAUGGUCACAUUUUAAAAUAAACUCAUCUAGAAGCCACAACUCUGAUUUUGCCUGAGGCAGACUACCAACGGAACCUGAAACAUAUUACAAGCUCUUAGAAUUCUAUCUGGGGGCGCCUGGGUGGCUCAGUUGGUUAAGCCUCCGACUUCGGCUCA